AUUUUUCAGAAGUGGAUUUAGUGCUCAUGAAAGGUGUCAGGUUGAGGUCCUUGGAAGCCAAAGUGGUCUUUUUAACCCAUAGAUCAGAGCCCUUAAAAAUUAUUUUUCUGGUGACAAGGUAUGCAAGGACUCCUCUUCAGGCCAAGUCCAUGCAGCAUAAGGAGGUGCAUGUCUCUCACUGCUUAAACCCAGAUGCAGGAGAAGUGAAGGUGAUGCCUGAAUCCACCAGUCCUUUGGUCAGAGAUAACUUUUCCUCCCUGGACAGUGGGAAAAGUGUUUCUUCAGGCUUUAUCUGAGUGCUGUCUCCUCUCCUGUGGGUGCUGAGGCUGCUGAGUCAGUGCCAAAUGAGGUCAGUCGUGAUGUCCAUUUCGGGGAACUGGACACAGGCCUGAAACAUCCUGAAAUGGCAUUCCUUGGGCCCUUUUCCU